rnacentral:SRP_RNA from 10 species
CAGAAAUGCGUGAGGCAGGCUUCACAG